rnacentral:rRNA from 1 species
UACGAAGGGUGCUAGCGUUGUUCGGAAUCACUGGGCGUAAAGCGCGCGUAGGCGGCGAUACAAGUCAGAUGUGAAAGCCCCGGGCUCAACCUGGGAAUUGCAUUUGAGACUGCGUAGCUAGGGUGCGGAAGAGGGAAGCGGAAUUUCCGGUGUAGCGGUGAAAUGCGUAGAUAUCGGAAGGAACACCAGUGGCGAAAGCGGACUCCUGGUCCAGCACCGACGUCAGGCACGAAAGCGUGGGGA